rnacentral:rRNA from 1 species
GGCUCUGAGGUGUGUACACAUCGCCCGGUCGCUCUCAUUAUUGAUUAUUCUUUUUUAUUACUUUAAUUUAGCUCCAAUUUAGAGGAGAUAAGUCGAACCAUAGUAGACGUACUGGAAAGUGUAUCUAGGAAGAGUUUCA